CCUUCCCUUCCCCCAUCCUUGUUUUAAAGCAGCCAGAGCUGAGCGCAGAGGAGUGGUGUCCUGAAGAGGAAAAGACUUUGAGGAACGCUCGAGCCUGAACGCUGCGGAAAGGGGACAAAGGACAGGCCGGGUAGUUAUUUAUAUCGAAAGUGGGAUGUGGAGCAGCGUGCUGCUUAACGUUUGGGGUCGUCCGCACUUCCGCAGGGCAGAAGGGCUGCUGGUGAUGUAUCUGCCAGAGGGCAAAGCAACAACUCCACCAGAGUGGAUGAAGGGGAGGAAGCCUCUCUAUCGGAAGUGGCGGUAUCCUGACAUUUACCAUGAAGCUGCAAGGUCUGGGCUGCUCAACUCAAAUCCUAUCGGUCCCACUCUUCAUUCUCCAGCUGUGAGACCUGGGACUCAGCCACUGAAUCCUGCAUCCGAACAUCUUUAUCAAGAUGCUGUAUAUGCCACAAUGUCAUCAAUUGCCCUUUUGAUUUUACUUGCUGCUGAGCUUCAGUGAGAAUCACACAUUUAAUCUACUUUUUGCUGAUUUGCAUAGAGAAGGAGAAAAGGAGAGAAAGUCCUUUGUGUGCCAAAAAUUGUGGUCAUCAUUGAAAAAUCAGAAGCCAUAAGACCUAGCCUCUAUUCUGGAGAAACUACACUGGAGACAGACAAUGUCGCUCAGGUGGUCUGUGGCUGGAUGCAAUCACACAGAAAGAUCAAUUGUGUUCAGGACACUUUAUGCACCCUCACUUUGAUCCACCAAAUAACACCGUCAGAUCUUCUACUUAAUUUUGACCUUCAAUAGCCUGAGACCCUUCAGGGAUUCUCCACUGAUCGGGAAUACUCAGGUAUCUGAAACCAACUUUCUUGUCUCCUCCACCCAUCUUCUUUCCUCUCCUCUCCCUUCCCCUCCCCUCCCCUCCCCUCCUCGGUUAAUGUCACUAUUUUUCCAAUCACCCCUGCUUGAAAUCUGGGCAUUGUAUUGGAUGAAUCACCUCUUAUCUUUCCUAUUACCAAAUGUAUGGUCUAGUCCUGUCUUCAUUGAGAUAAAAUUUCUUCCUGGGCCUCCCAGAAGAUGUCUGUCAAAUAAUGAAAAUCACCCUCAGCAUCAAGGCAGGUCUGGGACGAGCACUGUGUGUGAGGCAGUCCACCCACAGAGUCUAUGCCACGGUGCGGAUCUGGAAUAUUUGCCCGACUUAUGUGUAGAAGGCUUGGUACCCAGCAGGAGGUGGUGAGAACUGGAGGAGGAAGAGCCUAAUUGGAAGAAGUAGGUUACUGUACCAUGACCUGAAAGGAUGUACUGGACUCAGGCCCCUUCUCCUCUCUGUUUCCUUGCCAUGCAUUUUUCCCAGGAUGCACUGCCCCACCAUAGUCCCAGGGACCACUGGGCCAAGCAACCAUGGACUGCAAGCUCUGAAACUAUGAAUGAAAAUAAACCUUUCUUCCUUUUAAGUUGCUUAUGUCAUUUUGUCACAAGGAGAAGGCUACUGAACACAAUCUAUGUCACUGAGGAUGCAGUAACCUGCCAAUUUCUUGUCUCCUUGUUCAGAGGAGAGCCUGAAUAAUUGGCAUCUUGUUGUUCUUCUUCUUAUGCUGCAUUGGUUGUUUAUUGGGGAAGAACCUACACUUCUUGAUGUCAGAUGUCUUAUUUGUGCCUCUGUUCCUCACAGAGCACUGCCAGAUGAAAACGCUGGACCACAAGGAAGCUGUGCUUGGCUUUGUCUUGAUCCCUACCAACACCAUAGGCUCUUGGCAGUAGGAAACAUUCAAGAUCAUCUGGUUUUAGUUCAUACAUAAGAAAAUGGAAAAUGUUAGUGACUUGUUCAAGGUUAUUCACCUAAGAAACAGUUGAUUUAGGAAUCCAAAUGUUCGCUCUCUGAUUCUAAACAUGGGACUUUUGUAUAUGUUAUAUACAGGUCUGCUUGUAUUCUAAGUUCCAGUGUGGGAGACAUAACGUGCAAUGAGUAAUGGAGGAGAACAGGCGUGUGUGUGUCUGUAUGUGUAAAAAGACGGAAGUGUGUGAGGUUUACAUUAAUCCCCUAUGCACAUUCAUCUAUAGACACUUGUAAGUGAAAUCUUCAAAACUAUAAACAAAACGCUGCCACCUGCCUCGCAAAGGCAAGGUCCCGAGUUAAAACAAACAAACUAUGGGGAGCCAGGCUUUCUUUCUGCUGCAAAUAUCAGGCACUAGAAUCUCCUCAUCCUACCAACACUGUCGACUGUCGUUGGCUCAGCCCUAUGUCAGGUACCCAGGUGAGGGCUGGAGAUGAGGCUUUCAGCAAAGUUUCAUCUCAGCCCCAGGGAGUUCAAAGUCCAUUUCACAUUCAUCCACAUCAGACUCCUUAAGGAAAGACACAUCUGAGUCCGUAAAAAAUCUGAUUUAUUGAACAUUCCAAUGAAAAUAGAGAGCUGGAAGGAGCUAAAUAUACAUUAUCUGGUUCAAACCAUGAUUUCAUAGCUAGGGAAUGGGGCACAGCAAGGUCCCAGGCUUUCUGAAUGUCUCUUUCCUCUUGAUACUUGACCCCAAAGUAGAAUCCAGAUUUCCUGACUUGUAACGAUCAUCCUUUUACUACAUGCAUGCAGCCUGCCUUUAAGUCAGCUGGGCGAAUGUCUGAAUAUUUUCUGCAGAAACGUAAAAAUCACACAGGAAUCUUGAAAAAGAAAAAAGAAUCUUAAAAAAGAAAAAAAGUAAAUGCAAACAAACAAACACAUCUAGGCCCUGAAGGCUGAGUUGGGUUGGGGCUGGAAAUAUAAUUUUUAAAAAUAUUUUGUCUUCACCAGGGAAUUCUAAUGCUCAGCCUGUGCUGAGAACAACUGUCCCAGGAGCUGUCAAGGCUAUAGAGAGGGUGGGGCAUCGCUUGAUCCAUAAGGCUCCAUUCUAACUGGAGUAGAGGAGCUCUUGUCUACACAUAAGACCACUGUGGAUCUCCAUCAUAUAUCUUAAUAAGCAGGAAAAUCACUUCCAUUUUAAUCUUGCCAAUUCCUUUUGUAGAGUUGUAAAUUUUUAUUUUAUUGCUGAUUAUUUCCUGGAAUUAAGUUGAUCUUAUUUAUAUCUCAAUUUUAAUAGAAGACUUAAUUGGAUUUUAAGGAUAAAGGUUAUUUUGUUUUCCAAAGAAAUUUACUUUCUUUGACUUAAUUAUAACAUGGGAAAGUUAGCUAGCUCUGGAUAAACGUAUUCUUCCAAUUAAAAAUUAAGAAAAUGAAAAGCAAACUAGUGUCUCCAAAUUAUGAGGAGCCCAAAGCCUAAGCAAAAUAAAAAACAAGCGAGUGAGAUGAAUUAAACGCACAAGCUUAAAUAUCAUGGUUUCUCUUAUAUGAGAAACCCAAAGAAUAAAUAAAUUGAAGAGGAAAAUGAAAAGAUAGAAAUUAGG